CCUACGGGGGGCAGCAGUGGGGAAUAUUGGACAAUGGGCGAAAGCCUGAUCCAGCCAUGCCGCGUGUGUGAAGAAGGCCUUCGGGUUGUAAAGCACUUUCAGUGGGGAAGAAAGCCUUGGGGCUAAUACCCUCGAGGAAGGACAUCACCCACAGAAGAAGCACCGGCUAACUCCGUGCCAGCAGCCGCGGUAAUACGGAGGGUGCGAGCGUUAAUCGGAAUUACUGGGCGUAAAGCGCGCGUAGGCGGUCUGAUAAGCCGGUUGUGAAAGCCCCGGGCUCAACCUGGGAACGGCAUCCGGAACUGUCAGGCUAGAGUGCAGGAGAGGAAGGUAGAAUUCCCGGUGUAGCGGUGAAAUGCGUAGAGAUCGGGAGGAAUACCAUUGGCGAAGGCGGCCUUCUGGACUGACACUGACGCUGAGGUGCGAAAGCGUGGGUAGCAAACAGGAUUAGAUCCCCAGUAGUC
rnacentral:rRNA from 1 species